CCCCUCUCAGGGUUGCAGCUGGGAAGUUUCCAGUACCCUACCAGUCUCGGCUAUGGGAGGGAAAGUCAAGCAGAGGUCUAUCUGUUCCAUUCCUAGCUUGGACAGUGGCUAGCAAGUGGAAGGCAAUCUGCUACAAGU